rnacentral:rRNA from 1 species
AGAGUUGAUCCUGGCUUAGAACGAACGCUGGCGGCGCGUCUUAAGCAUGCAAGUCGGACGGCAAGGGUUGUGCUUGCACAACUCCUAGAGUGGCGGACUGGUGAGUAACGCGUGGGUGACCUGCCCUCGAGAUGGGGAUAGCCAUUAGAAAUAGUGGAUAAUACCGAAUACGCUCAUGACCCUGUGGGGAUAUGAGGAAAACAGGCUACGGCCUGGCUCGAGGAUGGGCCCGCGUCCCAUUAGCUAGUUGGUGAGGUAACGGCCCACCAAGGCGACGAUGGGUAUCCGGCCUGAGAGGGUGUACGGACACAUUGGGACUGAGAUACGGCCCAAACUCCUACGGGAGGCAGCAGCUAAGAAUAUUCCGCAAUGGACGAAAGUCUGACGGAGCGACGCCCGCGUGGAUGAAGAAGGCCGGAAGGUUGUAAAGUUCUUUUCGGGAGGGGGAACAACCGUGGCAGGGAAUGGCCGCGGGAUGACGUGAAUCCCGGAAUAAGCCCCGGCUAACUACGUGCCAGCAGCAGC